rnacentral:rRNA from 1 species
ACGGGGUGCAGCUGGCGCGAAAACUUUACAAUGCCGGCAACGGCGAUAAGGGGACCUCGAGUGCCAGGUUACAAAUCUGGCUGUCGUAAUGCCUAAAAAGCAUUGCAUAGCAAGGGCCGGGCAAGACCGGUGCCAGCCGCCGCGGUAACACCGGCGGCUCGAGUGGUAACCGUUAUUAUUGGGUCUAAAGGGUCUGUAGCCGGCCGGAUAAGUCUCUUGGGAAAUCUGGCAGCUUAACUGUCAGGCUUUCAGGAGAUACUAUCUGGCUCGAGGCCGGGAGAGGUGAGAGGUACUUCAGGGGUAGGGGUGAAAUCUUGUAAUCCUUGAAGGACCACCAGUGGCGAAGGCGUCUCACCAGAACGGACCUGGCGGCAAGGGACGAAAGCUGGGGGAGCAAACCGGAUUAGAUACCCGGGUAGUCCCAGCUGUAAACGAUGCGCGUUAGGUGUAUCGGUGACUACGAGUUACCGAGGUGCCGAAGGGAAACCGUGAAACGUGCCGCCUGGGAAGUACGGUCGCAAGGCUGAAACUUAAAGGAAUUGGCGGGGGAGCAC